ensembl:Mt_tRNA
GGUAAAAUGGCCGAGUUAAGGCAUUAGGCUGUAAAUCUAAGAACAGGGGUUAGACCUCUUUUUACCA